rnacentral:lncRNA from 1 species
UGUGCAAUGGAGCGCCGGGUAUUCCCGGAGUAAGGGGACGCCGAGCUAAGAUUUCUGGUUGAGCCCUCUUGACGGACAAAAACAGAGAGCAACGACCACCGAAAAGAAACGUGGUGUUAGAGUGGUAGAACACUCAACGGGUUGAGGAUGCCUUCUUCGAAAGGCUUCCCCCAAGAAUUGUUUUUUCUACGUCCUACAGAUGACCCUCAUGAGCAAGGGCUGUUUGAAAUGGUCUGAGUAAAAAUCUCAUACCCGAUUAUCCUUCAGAUAUGUUGCUGGUUCCUCUGAUGGACCUGAAGAACAAACAAAUCCUGGUUACGGCAACUUCCUGCAUUGGACCCUGUGAACUGCAGGCGCCGCGAUGUUUAUUUGUUUUCGGCCAGUCUUACCGCGGCAGGGCGUUAAAUUAAUAGUCCGACUCCCCCACCCUGUCGAUUUGGUCCUUUUAUCUCAACAAUUCAUUGACAACUACAAAAGUGUAGAACUCAUAUAUCGCGCAAGCAACGCUGACCUGCCAGCGGGUCCUUACGACAGAUACAGAAAGGCCUGUUUAUUGCUGACUGAAAUGUCUUAUUGGGAACCCUUGUGCCACUGGUGUAAGAGAUACAUGUCUGCAUAAACCCGCGGCCGUGAACUUUUUCUGUAUGGAGAUGCUCGUCCUAAGUAGCCAUAGUGGUACGGUGCAUCUGAAACAGUCGGGUGACCGACCCGGAACUUUUUACUGCUUGAGAGGAUUGAGAAGUAGUGCGAUAUAAUUCGCGUGAGGGUCUUCUUGUACAAAGCUGGCAAUGCUGAAAUCAGUACUGACACUGGUCCGCGGCAUUGCUGACGCCAAGCUCUGACCAAGAAGAAAAGCUUAUAUUUUAGUACUUACACAAUUUAGGGGAACCCCUGACGCCGCAGCGGUAUGAGGCUGCGGUACCUGUUUUACUGCCCCAACUUCUCCAGUCUUUCAGAGUCGGAAGUUCCAAAAAAGAUGCGACAGCCUGCUUCGAAUGACAAGGACUAUCCAGCUGAUGCCUUUAUUCGUGUCUACGGUGGUCAACACUCUUCGGGCAAUGACUCGGACGGGAUUCUGUGGAGCUGAGGACCUACCUGUUUGCGAUGGUGGUUUGCAUGCCAACAAGAAUUAGGAAUGUGCUACAUACAUUGAGGUUUCGCAUGAAGGCCGAUAGACGGAAGAAGAUUGUGUGAAUAACUCGUAACGAACUCUCCGUGCGGAAAUAUUGAUGUGAAAUGGAACAGACACAACCCUCGACGCGAAACAAGUUAUCUCAACCACACUGACUCUCUGAUAAUUGGUUCUCUGGAAGCCCACAACAUUUUAACAAAUCAACUUUUUGCGG